rnacentral:rRNA from 1 species
CCUGGUUGAUCCUGCCAGUAGUCAUAUGCUUGUCUCAAAGAUUAAGCCAUGCAUGUGUAAGUAUGAACUAAUUCAGACUGUGACACUGCGAAUAGCUCAUUAAAUCAGUUAUAGUUUGUUUGAUGGUAUCUGCUACUUGGAUAAUCAUAGUAAUUCUAGAGCUAAUACGUGCAACAAACCCCGACUUCUGGAAAGGAUGCAUUUAUUAGAUAAAAGGUCGAUGCGGGCUCUGCCCGUUGCUCUGAUGAUUCAUGAUAACUCGAUGGAACGCACGGCCUUAGUGCCGGCAACGCGUCAUUCAAAUUUCUGCUCUAUCAACUUUCGACGGUAGGAUAGAGGCCUAUUGUGGUGGUGAUGGGUGACGGAGGAUUAGGGUUCAAUUCCGGAGAGGGAGCCUGAGAAACGGCUACCACAUCCAAGGAAGGUAGCAGGCGCACAAAUUAUCCAAUCCUGACACGGGGAGGUAGUGCCAAUAAAUAACAAUACCGGGGUCUUUGAGUCUGGUCAUUGGAAUGAGUAUAAUCUAAAUCCCUUAACAAGGAUCCAUUGGAGGGCAAGUCUGGUGCCAGCAGCCGCGGUAAUUGCAGCUCGAAUAGCGUAUAUUUAAGUUGUUGCAGUUAAAAAGCUCGUAGAUGGACCUUAGGUUAGGUUGACCGGUCGCCUAGCGAUGUGCACCUGUCAUCUCAUCCUUUCUGCCGACAAUGCGCUCCUAGCCUUAACUGGCUGGGUCGUGUCUCCGGCGCUGUUACUUUGAAGAAAUUAGAGUGCUCAAACCAAGCCUACGCUCUGUAUACAUUAGCAUGGGAUAACAUCAUAGGAUUUCAGUCCUAUUCUUUUGGCCUUCAGGAUCGAAGUAAUGAUUAACAGGGAUAGUCGAGAGCAUUUGUAUUUCAUAGUUAGAGGUAAAAUUCUUGGAUUUAUGAAAGACGAACAACUGCGAAAGCAUUUUCCAAGGAUGUUUUCAUUAAUCAAGAACGAAAUUGGGGGCUCGAAGACGAUCAGAUACCAUCCUAGUCUCAACCAUAAACGACGCUGAUGAUGUGUGUGGAAUACACACAUCUAAAUGGGGUUUUUAAGGCUGAUUUUAUGUACAUUUAGAUAUGAAUUGGUCCCAACACUCAUCCUAUGGGUUUAUUUGUGUGCUUUAGGUCCAAAAGAAGUCAAAGAGUGAUAAAGGGAAGAAUUGGACGUCAAAGUUGCCGAAACAAGUCGAGUUUGUGCAUCCCUAAUCUGAACAUGGCCGUGUUGGUUUUAACACUGGCCGUGUUCCCAACAUGGUCACCAAAACGGCCGUUUUGGGUGCAUUAGACAUCAAAGAAGAAGAGGCGUUAGGGAGCACGACCAUAGAGAGUAACACGGCUAGGAAUACCAGAUCGUGUUCCCAACACGGCUAGGAACACGGCCAUGUUCGCGGCGAUAGGAUGAAUUAAUUAAAAGAAAGAGCAAGAGGAAAGAAGAAGAAACGGGGAGAGAACGUCCCAAACCCUAACUUUUCUCUCUCUAAGGAUUUUCUGAGCUAGAACCAAGGAAAAAGGAGACUUGGACCAAGGUUUAAAUCAGAUUCCCUUCAAAGAUUGAAGAUUGGGCGAGGUUCGUUGAUUGGUUUCAAUUUGAGCAACAGGAACAAGAAUCGAUUCAAGAUUGGGCAAGAGGAAUUGGAGCUGUUUACUCUUAUCCAAGGGUGUAUUCGGGUUUCUCUACCUUACUCAUUUUUGUAAUUGAAUUCUU